AGCUCCAAUAGCGUAUAUUAAAGUUGUUGCAGUUAAAAAGCUCGUAGUUGAAUUUCGGGAUCAAUUUAUCGGUCGUGCAAUAGUACGUACUGGUUUUAUUGGUUCCUACCUUCUGAUGAACCAUGAUGCCAUUAAUUUGGUGUCAUGGGGAAUCAGGACUGUUACUUUGAAAAAAUUAGAGUGUUUAAAGCAGGCUCACGCUUGAAUACAUUAGCAUGGAAUAAUGAAAUAGGACGUUUGAUUCUAUUU
rnacentral:rRNA from 1 species